UACGUAGGUGGCAAGCGUUGUCCGGAAUUAUUGGGCGUAAAGCGCGCGCAGGCGGUUCCUUAAGUCUGAUGUGAAAGCCCACGGCUCAACCGUGGAGGGUCAUUGGAAACUGGGGAACUUGAGUGCAGAAGAGGAAAGUGGAAUUCCAAGUGUAGCGGCGAAAUGCGUAGAGAUUUGGAGGAACACCAGUGGCGAAGGCGACUUUCUGGUCUGUAACUGACACUGAGGCGCGAAAGCGUGGGGAGCGAACAGG
rnacentral:rRNA from 1 species